GACUAGCUGUGCCUGUUACAUUCUGUGAUGACUCUGGAUAACUUUACUGAUCGCAGUCGGCCUUGUGUCGGCGACGGAUCUUUCAAAUGUCUGCCCUAUCAAUUUGUUGGUAGGUGAUUUGCCUACCAUGAUGAUAACGGGUAACGGGGAAUCAGGGUUCGAUUCCGGAGAGGGAGCCUGAGAAAUGGCUACCACAUCCAAGGACGGCAGCAGGCGCGAAAAUUACCCACUCCCGGCACGGGGAGGUAGUGACGAAAAAUACGUAUACGGGACUCAAUUGAGGCUCCGUAAUUCGAAUGAGUACAAUUUAAAUCCUUUAACGAGGACCAAUUGGAGGGCAAGUCUGGUGCCAGCAGCCGCGGUAACUCCAGCUCCAAAAGCGUAUAUUAAAGUUGCUGCAGUUAAAAAGCUCGUAGUUGAAUCUGGGUCGUGCGGUCGCAUGCCGUUGCUUGUUCACGGUUUUGGUUACGAUCAGGACCAGUGUUCAGCUCGGUGUAGUGGCUGUGCAGCCUUUCAGCCGUGUCUGUGUUAAACGGGUGCUGGUGGGUUGACGAGUUCGUCUUGUUGACCUGUCGGCAUGCUUCCGGAUGCCUUUAAACGGGUGUCGGGAGCGGACGGCAUCUUUACUUUGAACAAAUUUGAGUGCUCAAAGCAGGCCUAUGUGCCUGAAAAUUCUUGCAUGGAAUAAUGAAAUAGGACUUCGGUUCUAUUUUGUUGGUUUUCGGAUCCGAAGUAAUGGUUAAGAGGGACAGACGGGGGCAUUUGUAUGGCGGUGUUAGAGGUGAAAUUCUGGGAUCGCCGCCAGACAAACUACAGCGAAAGCAUUUGCCAAGAAUGUUUUCAUUGAUCAGGAGCGAAAGUCAGAGUUUCGAAGACGAUCAGAUACCGUCGUAGUUCUGACCAUAAACGAUGCCAACUGACGAUCCGCGUUGGUUCUAUAAUUGACAUCGCGGGCAGUCCCCGGGAAACCUUUAAGUCUUUGGGCUCCGGGGGGAGUAUGGUUGCAAAGCUGAAACUUAAAGGAAUUGACGGAAGGGCACCACCAGGAGUGGAGCCUGCGGUUUAAUUCGACUCAACACGGGAAAACUCACCCGGCCCGGACACUGUGAGGAUUGACAGAUUGAUAGCUCUUUCUUGAUUCGGUGGGUGGUGGUGCAUGGCCGUUCUUAGUUGGUGGAGCGAUUUGUCUGGUCUUAU
rnacentral:rRNA from 1 species